UACGAAGGGGGCUAGCGUUGUUCGGAUUUACUGGGCGUAAAGCGCACGUAGGCGGAUCGUUAAGUCGGGGGUGAAAUCCUGGAGCUCAACUCCAGAACUGCCUUCGAUACUGGCGAUCUUGAGUCCGGAAGAGGUGAGUGGAACUCCUAGUGUAGAGGUGGAAUUCGUAGAUAUUAGGAAGAACACCAGUGGCGAAGGCGGCUCACUGGUCCGGUAUUGACGCUGAGACGCGAAAGCGUGGGGAGCAAACAGG
rnacentral:rRNA from 1 species